ensembl:lncRNA
AGAAACCUGCCGCCGCUCGCCGCCUCUUUGUCUGCUCUGGGACUUGGAACAAAAGGGGGAACUCUGAUGAACUCUCUCUCCGCCCCUCUCCCCCGGACGCGCGGGUAUCUCCCUCUCGCAACUUUGCCGCCGCGACUUUCUCCGCUGUCAGGCCACACAAAAGUGUCCGAACGCCUCGAGGACCGCGACAAGGGAAGUGUCUCUUCAAAGUGCGACCAAGUGGGGAAGAAGGUGUGAUUACUGUGGUCAGCAUCUAGAAAACAGAAGCACUCCCGCCUCCUCUGUGCUACAUCCUUCUUACUGGAUCUUUCUAUCAGUGAACAUUGUGGAAGUACCAUUACUACAUCGUCAUUCCUGAAGGAAAAGUUGCCAAACUUUUUUCUUUGGAGUUGCUUCAAAGUUGUUGGGAUUUUUGAUGAUGCCUCCCCUAUGUGGAUUACUACUGUUUGAACACUGGGAAUUCUCCAUCUUAAAGAAGAUGCUUUUGCUAUCUGGAAACUUAUGCCCACGUCUGUGACUGCGGGUCAGAAUUGCUUUCCUCACAUUCUGAUUGGGAGAGUUGUUAAACAUUGGAAUGUCCUUCUGAGCUGGGCUGUGGAAUGUCAUCGCUCCCAGGUGACUACAGAAGCCUCGACACCCAGCGUGGUCAGGAGCUGUGGAAUCCGAGUGCGGCUGCCAAGAGGAAUCCAGAAAAGCCAAAGAGCCCAAGCAUGUCAGACCUUCCUGUAGCCACACACACACACACCUCAAACCCCAAGGAAGUGAGUGAGAAUCACAGGCAGGGAGACAGCCAACCAGGAUCUCGUCCCGGAUACCGCACUACAUUUGUUCGUCGUGUCUAAGACACCUUCGAUCUAUGACUGUUUCUCUGACAUGUUUCUGAUGACCUUUACAGUUUCACGGAGUGCAGGCGCUGAGCUGCGCUGUUUUGUGUUUCUUUCUUUCUUUUUUUUAUUCUGAAGCCAGACCGUCUUUCCUCACAGCUCCAGGGCUGCAUCGCUGUGGGCACGCCAAGCUUCUCCUGGUUACCUGAGCUGCUGUUGCUGUCUCCCGGCUUCGGCUUCUUCAUGGCGCACGGGAACCCAGCAUCAUCGGUCUACGCAGCGCAGAACAAGGACCUGCUGGUGGAGCUCUGGCCGGGGUCCCCUCGCAGGCAGGCGAGGGGACUCGGAGGACAGGGUGAUGCGGGAGAAGACCCGGGGUGGGAUGGAUAGAAAGAACGCCAAGGACCGGGCAGGAGAAGUUAGGAAUUUGAUCCGUCCAAUGCCCACUGGUCUUCCCCACGGCGCACCCAGCUCAGGCUGCUCUUGGGGAUUAGUCUGGGAGGAAAGACCCAUGGCGAGAUGUGGUGGCAUUUUACUUGAGAGUGGAGCUGAAGAUGGAUAAACCUGGUCUCUGAUGUGUCUGCCUGCCUGCCGACGAGGCACAGUUGGAGAAAGGCAGAGCGAGGGAGCGCCUGAGAAGAAAGAGGAGAGGCGGAAUGCCGUUCGAUUGUCUGCCGCUGGCCCUGCAUUCUCAUUCUAGGGAGGAAGGCAUAAUUUAUAACCCAGUCUAUGGGUGGAAGAACUGUAAAUUGUAGUCUGGAUGUCCCCGGUGCUGUCAAGGAAGAAACUGAUGAGCUAGGUGACUGUACCAGUGUCCCCAGGGAGAAGAUCAGCCUUGCAGCAUGGAUUUAAAUGCAUGUGCAUGCAUGUAGAGACAUGAAAAGAGGGCGAUUUCUGACCAGUUUACACAGGAAGUCUGUCACUUGGCUGGAUCGGGCUUGAUUGCAGCUUGUAUUUUCAGCUUCAGCUCAACACCCAUUUCCUGACUAGCUAGAGAGCAUGGCCAAAGCAGCUGCAUGCAGAAUUUUCUUGUUAAUGUGAAAGCAACCCUCCUCAGCUUUAACUCCUUGAAGUUCUGAAUGCUCUGUGCUUCGCUCGGACUGACUGUAGGGUUUUGUUUGCUUCUUCUUCGACAGAUCCCCUGUAAACACAGCUGUAUUCAGUAUGAUGAAAAAUUCUAUCCAGUAAAUAGAAAUCUGAUCAAUUUAAUCAAAAUAAAUGUAUCCCAGAUGACUUUGAGACCAGCUGGCUACCACAGGCUUCAGAUGCUAAGCGUACAAUGGAGAUGAAUGCAAUCUUAUAUUUACGUGUUUCUGAAUUCCCGGAUCAGCCUAUAAUUAAAAAAAGAAAUCCUUUUGUAGGAAAGAGGUGGUCCUACCAGCUCUCAAGGUAGCUGGUUAGAUUCAGGUGCGGAUGUUGUUCAUGAGAUUUGGGAUCACGAUGUCGCAUUUCGAGGGCGUGUGCCAUGUGGCAGAGCAGAGUCAUGCUCCACAUAGAGAAAGCCUGCAUCUACCUUGCCAUCUGGAGACGCGGGUGCCCUCGAAACAGCCUCUGGUGAGGUUGGGGGAGGCACCUGAAGCUUGUUUUAGAUUCCGAUGUGUGGGCUCUGGUGCUCCAAGCCCAGCUCAAAACUGGGGGUGAGGUGCUUUCCCAGUUGUCAUGGGGAGCUCUUCUGGGACGCCUGUCUGGCCCUUCCACUGUUUGUUACUAUUUCUACAAAGGCGGCUCUGUGUGUUGGAUUAUGUUUGGCCAGCUGUUGGCGCAUUCCUGCGGGUGGGGCUGGGUGGAGACCUGAUUACUGUACUUGGAAACUGUAGAUCUCUGUGCGGUGGAGAGCAGGGAGGGAAUGCAAAGAAAGCAGGUUGGAGAAGCUGAUCUCUCUUAGAGAUUUGCUCCAGGUAGUUCUACAGCACGUGCAGAAAGGCUUCCAGUGUAGAGAAGGAAAGAGGGGAUGAUGCGGGGCGGGGAGCAGUGAGGGAAGGAGAAUGCAACUGAGCAAGCCCAUCAGAGAGAAAAACAGACUUUAGAACUUCAAAGCUGCAUAGACAAGCAGAAUGUCAGCAGCUUGUAAUUAGUGGUUCAUGGUUGCGUCAGCGCCUGCACCUCUCCAAGAAUAACUGUGUGAUGUGUGCCACAGAGUGAAGAAGACAGUCAUAACUAAGUUAUCAAACCUAGUUCAAACCAGGGCAAAUGGAGUCAGGAAUUUUUCUGUGUUUGUAAAUCAAAUCCUGAUGGAUUACACGUCUAAGACUUGCUGGGUUCUGCAUAAUUGAAGGCUGGAUUAUCCAUUUAUGGGGGAGGGUGGAGGGAUAUUGUAUGUUCAUUAAACGAAACUAUGAACCCUUAAAAAUGCAGAUGAAUCGUGCAUGUAAAUAUCAGCGCGCUCUGCGUCAAUACACGGUAUUUCCUCCAAUAGCCCCAAGCAGCUGUUGCCAAUCUCCCCGAAUCUCUGCAUCCACACAGAGUUUUUAUUUGCUCGGUUUUUGUGCAUUCACGUGGAGAGGAGUUAAAAGUUACAGUUCAGAUGAAAUAGGGUCAAUUAAAUGCGAAAAAUCGCAUCUUGGAAGUGGGCAACUGCAGCGGGGUUCUGAUUUUUGUUGCUGCCCCCGUGUAAAGCUUGCCGGAGCCUUGGCGGUCUCGCAGCCAAACAGCCGUCUGUUAGUAAGCCCGUGGGAAGUCGGGGCACCGCAGUGGUGGGGAGGCGAAGGCCACGUUCACUUCCCUCCCUUGUCUCUGGCGCUUAGAGAUUGCCGUGUGUGUGACUCCAGCCCCACAAAGAGCCGGUGGGAGGAGCUGAUUGGUCGGGAGGCUGGGGAUGUUUACUCUUAUUUGUUUUCAGCGCUCCUCCACGGCAUUCAUGCCGUAUUUGUAUUUGUGUUCACGCCGCACAAUUACUCCUCGCCCUGCUUUGUUUCUCUGCCCGAAGAGAAGUCAAUUUUAGUUCAGCUCCCCGGGUUUCGGCCUCCUGGCUAAAAUCCUACGUAUUGCUUUCCCCGGGUCUGCGUUUCCUUUUUUAAUGUGGAUUAGGGGGAAAUCGGUGGCCGGGAAAGCCGUGCAUAUUCAAUCAGUAGCUUUUGAAGCCGCGCCUGUCAGAUAAUUUAAAUAUAUUUACUCUGGGGGUGCCGGAGCUGGCGUGGUCGGAGCCCGUUUUAAUGUACCUCUUCGCUUUCGUCAAGGAGCGGAACCUGCCGGCUCAGAAUGGCGUAUUCUGUGCACCCAACAGGGUGGAAGACAUGAUUUUGUUUGUGUUAGUUCAAACAGCUGGUCAUUAAUGCAGUCCCCAUUUCGCCACUGAAGUGCGGGUGGACGUGAAUGGCUGCCUGAUUAAUGCUGUCCCCUCCGAGGGUCCUUCACCCAGCAGUCAGGCUCGGAGCAGAAUAAUGUAGCAUGAUGUGAUUGCUCUCUAACAGGGUAGUAUGUCAUUGUGUCACCAAGCAAUUGAGGUUAUUACGGGGCAGGGCAGACAGACGGGACAGUGGGGUUACUAGACCGUAGCAUUUUUAGAAAUACAGGCCUGACCUACUUAGAGUUAUUCUCUCUGGCUGGCAGCUGCACGGAGCAUCCAGUCUUCUGAUAGGCUGAGGCUGUUGCUAGGGGGGAAUUAGCCUGAAUUUUUCCACACACAGACUCAGUGACUGAAUGAUAAAAGCUGACUGGAAUUAAAGAGAUUUGGUUUAGUAUUAUACAGAUGGAUCGGCCCCGUUUUUCUUUCUCAAGUGCAAAGGAAGAGUGCAAAAUACAGAUUUUUGUGUCCAUCUUGUUCCUUGACCCUCUGGUUCUCCCCCACCACAGAACCGCCAGAGCAAGGCAGUUAUGAAAUUUCGGUUAAUCUCUUUAAAGUCGGGGGUCAUGGAAAUGAUGUUGCAAAUGGCAAGAUAUUUAAGCUUAAAGACCGCUGAGAAUGACUAACAGAAGGUUAGAUUAUUUUUCCUCUUCUGUGCACUAAACUGUUUUGAAGUUGGGCAUGCAUCUUUCAUGCACUGUAUAUUUAAACUCUCUCCCCCUUUUGGGCUUGAACAAAACAUUUAUAUAAAUUCUCUUCUAUCCAAACAGAUAGAAGCUUGCAGUCUCUGGCUUGUUUAAAAUAAGAUGGUAAGGAUUCCAGAUUUGGAUGGGGGAGAAAAAUAUAUAUAACACUUUUUUUUUUUUUAAUUACAAAGUAUUUUUUUCUGGGAUAUUUUGGGUUUGGCUUAUUUUUUAAAAGCCAGCCUGGUGUUUGUUCUUGUGGAUAAAACUUAACUGCUCCCACCCUACCCUCUUGGCUUCACAAUGUACAGAAAGAUACAGGUUUUUUUUCUCCAGAAGAUAAAGUAUCUGCUGAAUUUAUCUGCAUAUUGUUUUUCCUGGUUGCUCAUAUAAGCACUGUGUGUAGAAAGUUCACAUAAUCAAUUUUAUAUGAUGACACCCCCUUUUUUUUAUCUACUCCUGUAUUCUCCAAGUAUCUCUGAGUUUGUGAUUUUUUAAUAGAUCUUUUCCAGAGGCAGAUUUUUUAAAAUAGCUCCUUUAAUGAAAACUGAAAGUCCAUCAGGAUAAAAAUUAAAACAAUAUAUAGUCAAAAAUACUUUGUUUUUUUUUGUUUGUUUGUUUCUAAUUGCAUACUAUACUAUGUUUCUAAUUGCAAACAAUAUAUAGUCAAAAAUACUUUGUUUUUUUUUGUUUGUUUGUUUCUAAUUGCAUACUGUGCUUUAUCCACAGUGUCCUUCUGUUACCUUAUCUGUUCCUCUGCUGAAAGUAAUCAUUAUCCUGCCUUUUUGAUUUGAAAUUAAUUUUUGUAAGAACAUGCUGUGAUAUCACAAGUACACAUGGAGCUUGGCUACAUUAGGGAGAGGAAGAAUGUAGUUUCUUAUAAACGUCUAACACUGGAUUCCUUGGCCAUGUGGAAAAAAAGUAAAUUUAGAUGUGGGGUUUUCUUUUCAUUUUAGGAUUUUAAAAGUAUUCAAGUCUAUAUGGUGGUUAUCACUUACACCAGAUAUCAGAGUCAAAAGAAAAAAAAAUGAUCGAAUGAUAUCAUAGCCAAGAAACUCAUCAGUCUUUUCUCUUUUUUAGGCCAGCAAUGUUUACAUUUCAUCAUAUAACUAUAACAUCAAGCUAAAACAGUGUAUUUUCUGAUGUUGUAAUUGAUGUUUCUUUCCCUUACUAGCUUUGAGAAUCCCCCAAAUAACAUUUUUUUUUGUAAAGAUUUCCAAACAUACUAGUGAUUUUUCUUUACUGAAUAAAAUACCAAUGUAUAUUUGUUGAAUAAAAAGUUGCUUUUGUGUGCUGCGCCUUCCAAAAAUGAAGCCAUUUCAUUUAUUAUUUUAAUAAGUGAACAUUUUAACUCUUCUUCUUUGGGUCAGUGGAUGAUCAUUUAAAUAUUUUAAGUUCAAAGUUAUAGAGAUAAAAUGUCUCUUUAAAAUCACUUAGGGGAAAAUGUUGACCUAGAUUUAUUAACAUUUGUUAAAGGACAGAUGUUUAAUUUUUAUGUUGACUAUAGCCUGUGUCCAGGUACCCGGGCAAAUCAAAUGUUUAUUGUCUGUUUCAUAAUAAAUUAAUCACACUGAAGUAAUUCAGUGUAAGUCUUAUUUGAUCAUUAGGUUGUGAAGAAUUUUUCAUUGUUG